GUUCGUCCUGCUAUGAAACGACAAGGCUAUCUAGAUGCUCCUUUAUCGCCACCAACAGAUGUUCGUCCUGCUAUGAAACGACAACGAAUUUAUUGUCAACUUCGUAGUGAAGAUUCUAGUAUGUUUGGUGAACGGAAUAACACAAUGGAGGAUGAAAACGAAGAUGAUGAGUACGAGGAACUGCACUCA